rnacentral:rRNA from 1 species
CCCUUAGAUGUUCUGGGCCGCACGCGCGCUACACUGACGAAGUCAGCGAGCAUGUCCUACGCCGACAGGUGCGGGGAAUCUUGUCAAACUUCGUCGUGAUGGGGAUUGAUUAUUGAAAUUCUUGAUCAUCAACGAGGAAUUCCUAGUAAGCGCAAGUCAGCAGCUUGCGUUGAUUACGUCCCUGCCCUUUGUACACACCGCCCGUCGCUACUACCGAUUGAAUGGUUUAGUGAGAUCUUCGGAUUGGCGCCACUGCGGCUCAGCAAUGGGCUCGGUUGAUGCCGAAAAGUUGAUCAAACUUGAUCAUUUAGAGGAAGUAAAAGUCGUAACA